AAUGGGCUUGAAGCCCAAUUAACUCAUAAUUGAGACCAAGAGGACCACGCCCUCCUCACGUGCACAUUCAAAAUCCUUAGCUCAACUCAAAAUCUCUCCCUCCAUUUCUGACCGUAGAAACGAGCUUCUGUCGCGCCGGAGCUUAUCGACGGCGAUAGCGGAGCUCCAAACAUGAAAAUUAAAAUAUCAGAACCGUCCUUCUCACCUCCCUGAUCCGAAUCUCCAAUCCAAUUAACCUAAGUCUAAGUCUAUUGAUCAAACCGCAUCCAGAAGAACAUAAACCCUAGGUCAGAUUUCCAAAAAUUAAGUGGAACGUGAUGAUAAUCUAAAGCCAACAGGUUAGGGCUUUGAUGCCCCUAACCUAGCACUACAUUUAGGUAACCAGAGCGAAGCGGAACAAGUUGAAGUUGAUAACUUACCUGUCGGAGACGACGACGGAGACAACGGCGAUGAUAAUAGGAACCUCAGCUCAUGUAGGUCGUGGUUUAUCAGGUUUUGGUUUGGCUUCUCUAGCAAGAAUUCAAAUGGACAACGUUGUAUUUCUGACUUAGGCUUUGUCUGCAAAUUGGUGGCUUGCAUUGCAUCUUGGUUUCCAUUUGUGCCAUUCUGACUUUGUAAUGCUGAGUUUCUAUUCUCAUUUCAAACUCUGACUUUGGUUAAUUGGCUUGUUUUGCUAGGUCUAUAUUCCUUAAUCAAGUAUGUCAUGAAGUUUACAAUGGUUGGACAAAAGUUCAUGGCAUCAAAGUUGGAAUUUGAAGGAUCCAUCUACAAAUGGUCAACCAAAAAUCAAGAACCAAAGAUUGAAGAUUGGAUUAGAAUUAGGAUGAAAAAAGGGAUUGGGUUGACUUUGGUCAAAAUUGACCAAAAUUGACCAAAAAGUCAAUUGUUGACCAAAGUCUACAUUUGGUCAACACACUUUUUUUUUACUUUUCUCGUGUAAUGAACAUUUGUAAUGGAUUAUAAUGAUGGAAUUGGCAUUUGAAUGAAAUUGGAUUGAUAUUUGAAUUGA